UACGAGAGGCCCAAACGUUAUUCGGAAUUACUGGGCUUAAAGAGUUCGUAGGCGGCAUGAAAAGUAGGGUGUGAAAGCCCUCGGCUUAACCGAGGAAUUGCGCUCUAAACUGUCGUGCUUGAGGAAGCUAGAGGUGAGCGGAACUGAUGGUGGAGCGGUGAAAUGCGUUGAUAUCAUCAGGAACACCGGAGGCGAAGGCGGCUCACUGGGGCUUUUCUGACGCUGAGGAACGAAAGCCAGGGUAGCGAACGGG
rnacentral:rRNA from 1 species